rnacentral:rRNA from 1 species
AGUACUUUCAGUUGUGAGGAAGGGGGUGUCGUUAAUAGCGGCAUCUCUUGACGUUAACAACAGAAGAAGCACCGGCUAACUCCGUGCCAGCAGCCGCGGUAAUACGGAGGGUGCGAGCGUUAAUCGGAAUUACUGGGCGUAAAGCGCAUGCAGGUGGUUCAUUAAGUCAGAUGUGAAAGCCCGGGGCUCAACCUCGGAACUGCAUUUGAAACUGGUGAACUAGAGUACUGUAGAGGGGGGUAGAAUUUCAGGUGUAGCGGUGAAAUGCG